GGGCGCUUGGUCUAGGGGUAUGAUUUUCGCUUCGCAUCUUCUGAGUUCUCCACAGAGGAUCAGAUGCGCUCUGUGAAAGGUCGUGGGUUCAAUUCCCACAGUGUCCA